rnacentral:misc_RNA from 1 species
AAGUCGUAACAAGGUUUCCGUAGGUGAACCUGCGGAAGGAUCAUUAACGAAUAUCUAUGGCGUUGGUUGUAGCUGGCUCCUAGGAGCAUUGUGCACGCCCGUCAUUCAUAUCAUCUUUCCACCUGUGAACCAUGUGUAGGCCUGGAUAACCCCUCGCUUUGGCAACAAAGCGGAUGCAAGGAUUGCUGCGUCGACAAGGCCGGCUCUCUUUGAAUUUCCAGGUUCUAUGUCUUUUACACACCCCAUUUGAAUGAUUUAGAAUGUAGUCAAUGGGCUUUCAUGCCUAUAAAAAACUAUACAACUUUCAGCAACGGAUCUCUUGGCUCUC